AUAUCUCUCUGUACGGGAAGGAUGAGAAGCUUCGACUAAGGUUCGAUUCGAGCGCAGCGAGAAAGCGUUGCCGCAGGCAACGACCCGAAGGGCGAAGCGCGCAGCGCUGAGUCAUCCUUCCCC
rnacentral:sRNA from 2 species